rnacentral:rRNA from 1 species
CUACGUGCCAGCAGCCGCGGUAAUACGUAGGUGGCAAGCGUUGUCCGGAAUUAUUGGGCGUAAAGCGCGCGCAGGCGGAUUGGUCAGUCUGUCUUAAAAGUUCGGGGCUUAACCCCGUGAUGGGAUGGAAACUGCCAAUCUAGAGUAUCGGAGAGGAAAGUGGAAUUCCUAGUGUAGCGGUGAAAUGCGUAGAUAUUAGGAAGAACACCAGUGACGAAGGCGACUUUCUGGACGAAAACUGACGCUGAGGCGCGAAAGCCAGGGGAGCGAACGGGAUUAGAUACCCCGGUAGUCCUGGCCGUAAACGAUGGGUACUAGGUGUAGGAGGUAUCGACCCCUUCUGUGCCGGAGUUAACGCAAUAAGUACCCCGCCUGGGGAGUACGACCGCAAGGUUGAAACUCAAAGGAAUUGACGGGGGCCCGCACAAGCGGUGGAGUAUGUGGUUUAAUUCGACGCAACGCGAAGAACCUUACCAGGUCU